GAGUCUAGUAGAUGGAUCCAACUGUGCCGACGUGACCUUUGUGAAGUGAAAGAUCUUAAUAUUGGAGAAAGCAAUAUCAAGAGCAGUAAGUCGACCGUCAUUGUUCAUUGCACUAUUUGUAACUCUUUUUUAUUGUAUGACAACAUGGUUGUCAGACUCGAGCUUCGCGGGAGAUGACCGCUAAAUGAAAGGGUGUGUUCCCAUCUUUAUCAGGCUGGCUCACAAGAUCAUCAACAAGCUCUGGCAGUCCAAGCACGAAUUU
rnacentral:lncRNA from 1 species